UCGGGUGUCGCGGAAUGUGGUGUUCAGGAGGACCGUGCGCGUCUGUCCGGUAUCGUCCAAGUCUCCAUGAAUGGGGCCAGCAACCCAGAGAGGGUGUCAGGCCCGUGGGACGAGCCGCGACCGUGUAUUGGGUCUCUCCUUAGAGUCGGGUUGCUUGAGAGUGCAGCCCUAAGCGGGAGGUAAACUCCUUCUAAGGCUAAAUACGGCCACGAGACCGAUAGCAAACAAGUACCGCGAGGGAAAGUUGAAAAGAACUUUGAAGAGAGAGUUCAAGAGUGCGUGAAACCGUUCAGGGGGUUAAACGGGUGGGCCCUCGAAGGUCGAACGGUCCCCACUCCCGUCACCUGUAGUGCCGGCCCGUGCUGCUUUUCGAUUCCGCUACGGAACGAGGCUUGGUGCGGUUCGCCGGUCUACGGGGGCCGCUAGCUGGGGACCCAGUAGGACUCCGCAACCGGCUGGGAGGCCGUCAGAAGGGUUCUGUGAGGAAGCCCCCUCGUUGGGGUGGAUUCCGGGAUUCCGGGCGGUCCUCUCGGCCGUGAACCAAAAUUUCUCUCCUCACGGGGAGAAUGAGCGGAGAGUAGAGUCGGGUCCCACCCGACCCGUCUUGAAACACGGACCAAGGAGUCUAACAUGUGCGCGAGUCGUCGGGUACUACUAAACCCGAAGGCGUAAUGAAAGUGAAGGCCGCCCUUGUUGGCGGCCGAGGGGAGAUCCCGUUCUGCUCCGGUAGCUCGGGCGCAUCCCCGGGGCGUCGAAGCCGCGUUGCCGGCUAGACGAACCAAGAGCGUACACGUUGGGACCCGAAAGAUGGUGACCUAUGCCUGGCCAGGACGAAGCCAGGGGAAACCCUGGUGGAGGUCCGCAGCGAUUCUGACGUGCAAAUCGAUCGUCUGAGUUGGGUAUAGGGGCGAAAGACUAAUCGAACCAUCUAGUAGCUGGUUCCCCCCGAAGUUCCCUCAGAAG
rnacentral:rRNA from 1 species